rnacentral:rRNA from 1 species
AAAUCUUCCGGCUCAACCGGAAAACUGCCGCUAAAACUCCAAAACUAGAGACCGGGAGAGGUCAGCGGAAUUGCCGGUGUAGGGGUAAAAUCCGUUAAUAUCGGCAAGAACACCAAAUGCGCAAGCAGCUGACUGGAACGGUUCUGACGCUAAGGUACGAAAGCGCGGGGAGCGAAUGGGAUUAGAUACCCCAGUAGUCCGCGCCGUAAACGAUGGAUGCUAAGCAUUGGCAGUAUCGACCCUGCCAGUGCUGUCUACCUAAGUUAACACCUUAAGCAUCCCGCCUGGGGAGUACGGCCGCAAGGCUAAAACUCAAAGGAAUUGACGGGAACCCGCACAAGCGGUGGAGCAUGUGGUUCAAUUCGACGGUAAGCGAGGAACCUUACCAGGGCUUGACAUCCAGCUGCAAAUCCGAUGAAAGUCGGACUCCUUCGAGGGUGCUGGACAGGUGCUGCAUGGCUGUCGUCAGCUCGUGUCGUGAGAUGUACCGUUAAGUCGGGAAACGAGCGCAACCCCUAUGCUAUGUUAAUUUUAUC